rnacentral:tRNA from 1 species
AAGGCUCUAGCUUAGUAAAAGCGUAUGUUUUGCAUGCAUAAGAUGUGGGAUAAUACCCCGCGAGUCUUA